AGUGGGGAAUAUUGCACAAUGGGGGAAACCCUGAUGCAGCCAUGCCGCGUGUAUGAAGAAGGCCUUCGGGUUGUAAAGUACUUUCAGUCGUGAGGAAGGGUAUGUAGUUAAUAGCUGCAUGCCUUGACGUUAGCGACAGAAGAAGCACCGGCUAACUCCGUGCCAGCAGCCGCGGUAAUACGGAGGGUGCGAGCGUUAAUCGGAAUUACUGGGCGUAAAGCGCAUGCAGGCGGUCUGUUAAGCAAGAUGUGAAAGCCCGGGGCUCAACCUCGGAACCGCAUUUUGAACUGGCAGACUAGAGUCUUGUAGAGGGGGGUAGAAUUUCAGGUGUAGCGGUGAAAUGCGUAGAGAUCUGAAGGAAUACCGGUGGCGAAGGCGGCCCCCUGGACAAAGACUGACGCUCAGAUGCGAAAGCGUGGGGAGCAAACAGGAUUAGAUACCCUGGUAGUCCACGCCGUAAACGAUGUCUACUUGAAGGUUGUGGCCUUGAGCCGUGGCUUUCGGAGCUAACGCGUUAAGUAGACCGCCUGGGGAGUACGGUCGCAAGAUUAAAACUCAAAUGAAUUGACGGGGGCCCGCACAAGCGGUGGAGCAUGUGGUUUAAUUCGAUGCAACGCGAAGAACCUUACCUACUCUUGACAUCCAGAGAAUUCGCUAGAGAUAGCUUAGUGCCUUCGGGAACUCUGAGACAGGUGCUGCAUGGCUGUCGUCAGCUCGUGUUGUGAAAUGUUGGGUUAAGUCCCGCAACGAGCGCAACCCUUAUCCUUGUUUGCCAGCACGUAAUGGUGGGAACUCCAGGGAGACUGCCGGUGAUAAACCGGAGGAAGGUGGGGACGACGUCAAGUCAUCAUGGCCCUUACGAGUAGGGCUACACACGUGCUACAAUGGCGUAUACAGAGGGCUGCCAACCAGCGAUGGUGAGCGAAUCCCACAAAGUACGUCGUAGUCCGGAUCGGAGUCUGCAACUCGACUCCGUGAAGUCGGAAUCGCUAGUAAUCGUGAAUCAGAAUGUCACGGUGAAUACGUUCCCGGGCCUUGUACACACCGCCCGUCACACCAUGGGAGUGGGCUGCACCAGAAGUAGAUAGCUUAACCUUCGGGAGGGCGUUUACCACGGUGUGGUUCAUGACUGGGGUG
rnacentral:rRNA from 1 species